rnacentral:rRNA from 1 species
GUAAACCUUUUUCAGUAGGGCGAAGCGCAAGUGACGGUUCCUUCAGAAGAAGCCCCGGCCCAAUACGUGCCAGCAGCCGCGGGUAAUACGUAGGGUGCGAGCGUUGUCCGGAUUACUGGGGCGUAAAAGAGCUCGUAGGCGGUUUGUCACGUCGUCUGUGAAAACCCGAGGCUUAACCUCGGGCCUGCAGGCGAUACGGGCAGACUUGAGUACUGUAGGGGAGACUGGAAUUCCUGGUGUAGCGGUGGAAUGCGCAGAUAUCAGGAGGGAACACCGGUGGCGAAGGCGGGUCUCUGGGCAGUAACUGACGCUGAGGAGCGAAAGCGUGGGUAGCGAACAGGAUUAGAUACCCUGGUAGUCCACGCCGUAAACGGUGGGUACUAGGUGUGGGUUUCCUUCCACGGGAUCCGUGCCGUAGCUAACGCAUUAAGUACCCCGCCUGGGGAGUACGGCCGCAAGGCUAAAACUCAAAGGAAUUGACGGGGGCCCGCACAAGCGGCGGAGCAUGUGGAUUAAUUCGAUGCAACGCGAAGAACCUUACCUGGGUUUGACAUAUAGAGGAUCGCCGGAGAGAUUCGGUUUGCCUUGUGCCUUCUAUACAGGUGGUGCAUGGCUGUCGUCAGCUCGUGUCGUGAGAUGUUGGGUUAAGUCCCGCAACGAGCGCAACCCUUGUCUCAUGUUGCCAGCACGUAAUGGUGGGGACUCGUGAGAGACUGCCGGGGUCAACUCGGAGGAAGGUGGGGAUGACGUCAAGUCAUCAUGCCCCUUAUGUCCAGGGCUUCACACAUGCUACAAUGGCGCGUACAGAGGGCUGCGAUACCGCGAGGUGGAGCGAAUCCCUUAAAGCGCGUCUCAGUUCGGAUUGGGGUCUGCAACUCGACCCCAUGAAGUCGGAGUCGCUAGUAAUCGCAGAUCAGCAACGCUGCGGUGAAUACGUUCCCGGGCCUUGUACACACCGCCCGUCACGUCAUGAAAGUCGGUAACACCCGAAGCCGGUGGCCUAACCCCUUGUGGGAGGGAGCUGUCGAAGGUGGGAUUUUCCG